rnacentral:rRNA from 1 species
UACGUAGGGUGCGAGCGUUAAUCGGAAUUACUGGGCGUAAAGUGUGCGCAGGUGGCCGCGCAAGUCGAGUGUGAAAUCUCCGGGCUUAACUUGGGAAUUGCGCUCGAAACUACGUGGCUCGAGUGUGGCAGAGGGGGGUGGAAUUCCACGUGUAGCGGUGAAAUGCGUAGAGAUGUGGAGGAACACCAAUGGCGAAGGCAGCCCCCUGGGCCAACACUGACGCUCAUGCACGAAAGCGUGGGGAGCAAACAGG